rnacentral:rRNA from 1 species
UACGUAGGGUGCGAGCGUUGUCCGGAUUUAUUGGGCGUAAAGAGCUCGUAGGCGGUUUGUCGCGUCGGCCGUGAAAUCUCCACGCUUAACGUGGAGCGUGCGGUCGAUACGGGCAGACUUGAGUUCGGUAGGGGAGACUGGAAUUCCUGGUGUAGCGGUGAAAUGCGCAGAUAUCAGGAGGAACACCGGUGGCGAAGGCGGGUCUCUGGGCCGAUACCGACGCUGAGGAGCGAAAGCGUGGGGAGCGAACAGG